rnacentral:ncRNA from 2 species
CUGCAUUCUCAGGGCGGGGUGAAAUUCCCCACCGGCGGUAUGUGGCCUGCGCCACGAGCCCGCGAGCGGCCCUUCCGGGGGUGUCAGCAGAUCCGGUGAGAUGCCGGAGCCGACGGUCAUAGUCCGGAUGAAAGAGAAUGUGA